UGCCAACUGCGUGCUUUGCUGUGGAGUGGGCAGAGCACAUGUAGUUAAAAAAAAAAAAAAAAGCAGGGAAAGAAUGUCUGUUCUCUGUCUGAGUGCCAGGUGGGCAGGCUCACAGGUGAGCUGUGGUUACCGGCUGUAUCCCCUUGUCCCCUCUCAGUCCUGGGCUGACGCGUUCCGCAGCUCCCCCGAUCUGACAGGUGUGGUCACCAUCUAUGAGGACCUGCGGAGGAAAGGCCUGGAGUUCCCCAUGACUGACCUGGACAUGCUGUCACCCAUCCACACACCCCAGAGGACCGUGUUCAACUCAGAGACACAAUCAGGACAGGAUUCUGUGGGCACUGACUCCAGCCAGCAAGAGGACUCUGGCCAGCACGCUGCCCCUCUGCCCGCCCCGCCCAUACUCUCCGGUGACACGCCCAUAGCACCAACCCCGGAACAG
rnacentral:sRNA from 1 species